rnacentral:tRNA from 1 species
GGCGCAGUAGCCAAGCGGUAAGGCAAUGGUCUGCAACACCAGUACGCGCCGGUUCAAAUCCGGCCUGCGCCUCGA